ACUGACAGCCAUGGUUACCGCGGCUGCUGGCACGGAGUUAGCCGGUGCUUCUUCUGUGAGUGAUGUCCUUCCUGCCGGCUAUUAACCCGCAGGCCUUCUUCCUCACUGAAAGUGCUUUACAACCCGAAGGCCUUCUUCACACACGCGGCAUGGCUGGAUCAGGGUUGCCCCCAUUGUCCAAUAUUCCCCACUGCUGCCUCCCGUAGGAGUCUGGGCCGUGUCUCAGUCCCAGUGUGGCUGAUCAUCCUCUCAGACCAGCUACGGAUCGUCGCCUUGGUGAGCCGUUACCUCACCAACCAGCUAAUCCGACAUAGGCUCAUCCGAUAGCGCGAGGCCCGAAGGUCCCCCGCUUUCCCCCGUAGGGCGUAUGCGGUAUUAGCCUGGGUUUCCCCCAGGUUAUCCCCCCACUACCCGGGCAGAUUCCUAUGCAUUACUCACCCGUCCGCCGCUCGCCNCCAGGGAGCAAGCUCCCCGUGCUGCCGCUCGACUUGCAUGUGUUAGGCCUGCCGCCAGCGUUCAAU
rnacentral:rRNA from 1 species